GAGGAGCUAAGGGAUAAAAAUUUAGAAAAAAAACGACUGAAAAAUCUCAUAAAAAUCACUAUUCCAUUGAAUUUCUUCUGUUAUUCUUGAGGUUUUCAACUUCUGAAGUAAUUCCUGAUUCAUCUAAGGUUGAAAUGGGUUGAAUUUGGGUUCUAAAAGUUUGGUUUGGAGUUUCCUAUGGUUACUGUGCGAUUGAGACUGAUUUUUGGAUUGCUUCACAUCAUUUUUCUAGUUUGAAAUUGGUUUUGCUGGUGCUGGGUUCUGUUAUAUUGCUACUGAUUUGUGCUGAAUCUUCACCUCUUUAUUUCCUUUUUCAUUUCCAGGUACAUACCCUUGAUCUUAAAAUGUAAAGGCUGACCAUGUGGUGUUUUGAGGAAAAAAUGAAGAUCUCUGUUUUAUUAUAUUCCUCUUUCUUUGUUCUCUUUCUCACUUGACUGAUUGGUUCAAAUUCCCUGUCUUGACAUGUUUAAAGCAAGAUUAUAAUGUGAACAUUGAGACCUCUAUCGAGGUUGUAAUGGGACUUUAUUUAAGUACUUGUUGACUUUAAUUUGUUUAAUUCCCUAGGCUUUAUUAUUUCUAGGAGAUUUGAUGGGUUUUAAGUUCCAUUUGGUGUUCAUAAGUUCAUAUUAGUUACUUAGCUAGUAUAAGCUGGGUUGUCCUGGUUAUGCAUUCCUGUAAGAUCCUGUUGGUGUGAGGUUUUGGGUGCUUUUAAUUGAAAGUUUCAUAGUUAGUUAGUGCAUCGUCGUUUAGAUCAUCAUUUAAAUCCCCCAUGUUCAUGUGAUGCUUCUUUCUCCAUUAAGGAAUUUCAAAUGAGAGUCGGGCCUGAUUUGGGUUUUGAGAAUGUCUCAGAAUUAGUACAGAUCCUUACAUGUUCCUUUUUAAUAAGCUUG
rnacentral:lncRNA from 1 species